AACAGGAUUAGAUACCCUGGUAGUCCACGCCGUAAACGAUGUCAACUAGCCGUUGGGAUCCUUGAGAUCUUAGUGGCGCAGCUAACGCAUUAAGUUGACCGCCUGGGGAGUACGGCCGCAAGGUUAAAACUCAAAUGAAUUGACGGGGGCCCGCACAAGCGGUGGAGCAUGUGGUUUAAUUCGAUGCAACGCGAAGAACCUUACCUACUCUUGACAUCCAGAGAACUUAGCAGAGAUGCUUUGGUGCCUUCGGGAGCUCUGAGACAGGUGCUGCAUGGCUGUCGUCAGCUCGUGUUGUGAAAUGUUGGGUUAAGUCCCGCAACGAGCGCAACCCUUAUCCUUUGUUGCCAGCGAUUCGGUCGGGAACUCUUUUUGUGACUGCCGGUGAUAAACCGGAGGAAGGUGGGGAUGACGUCAAGUCAUCAUGGCCCUUACGAGUAGGGCUACACACGUGCUACAAUGGCGCAUACAAAGAGAAGCGACCUCGCGAGAGCAAGCGGACCUCAUAAAGUGCGUCGUAGUCCGGAUCGGAGUCUGCAACUCGACUCCGUGAAGUCGGAAUCGCUAGUAAUCGUGGAUCAGAAUGCCACGGUGAAUACGUUCCCGGGCCUUGUACACACCGCCCGUCACACCAUGGGAGUGGGUUGCAAAAGAAGUAGGUAGCUUAACCUUCGGGAGGGCGCUUACCACUUUGUGAUUCAUGACUGGGGUGAAGUCGUAACAAGGUAACC
rnacentral:rRNA from 1 species